rnacentral:rRNA from 1 species
CCAGCGCGGGGGGGAUAUUACCAAUAUGAGGCGGGCUGGACCUCUCGGGGUUACAGCCUUGCUGAAUUAUUCACCCUUGUCUUUUGCGUACUUCUUGUUUCCUUGGUGGGUUCGCCCACCACUAGGACAAACAUAAACCUUUUGUAAUUGCAAUCAGCGUCAGUAACAAAUUAAUAAUUACAACUUUCAACAACGGAUCUCUUGGUUCUGGCAUCGAUGAAGAACGCAGCGAAAUGCGAUAAGUAGUGUGAAUUGCAGAAUUCAGUGAAUCAUCGAAUCUUUGAACGCACAUUGCGCCCUUUGGUAUUCCAAAGGGCAUGCCUGUUCGAGCGUCAUUUGUACCCUCAAGCUUUGCUUGGUGUUGGGCGUCUUGUCUCUAGCUUUGCUGGAGACUCGCCUUAAAGUAAUUGGCAGCCGGCCUACUGGUUUCGGAGCGCAGCACAAGUCGCACUCUCUAUCAGCAAAGGUCUAGCAUCCACUAAGCCUUUUUUUCAACUUUUGACCUCGGAUCAGGUAGGGAUACCCGCUGAACUUAAGCAUAUCAAUAAGGCGGAGGAAA